rnacentral:lncRNA from 1 species
CUCGCGGCCUCGCUGCAGGCCCCGGCCGCUCAGCAGUCAGUGAACUUCCUAAAAGGCAAAUCUGGCCUUGCUCACCGGGAGACCAGGCGAUGGUGGUCGCGGAGCUGAUUUAGCAGGGGACUUGUCCUGCCUGUAAGAAGCAAGCAGGAUGUAGCCUUGGGCUGUUAAGCUACCCGCCACCUCUCCUCCCACCACUCUGGGAGGAAAAUGGGACUUGGAAAGCACCAGGAAGGACAGGCCACCCCUCGUCUGUCGCCAGCUGACCACUCCAGCCCACCGCAUGCACCCCAGCAGCUAUGCCCAGCUUCUACCCGGUGCCUGCCCCCACCCAGAUGCUGGACUGCUGGGCCUGCAGCCUCUCCCCAGCCCCAAGUUUCAUGUGUGUGGGGUCUCACUGACCCUUCCCUUCUUUCCUGACUGCCCAGUGGGACAGGGAAGAGGUGGACUGCAGGGGUCUAGUACGGAAGCCAGGCCUCCAGGUUCCCAGCUCCCUACUUGAGACCUCCCGCUCAGCACUUAAGCCUUCGGUCCACCCCCUUGCUCUGAUCUCCUGACCAGCCAUGUCUCUGGGUAAGGGGGGAACCCAAUGUCAUUUCAGGGAUCCUUGGAGCAGGGGAUGUCAGUUGGCCUUGUACCCCUUUCUCUUGUGGGGGAGAGAUGGCCACCCGUUUUUCAUCGUGGCUUGAAUGGAGCUGUGUGGGCGGCAAGCCACCCAGGCACCGAGGCAAGAGAGAGGACACGAGCUGUUGCAGUAUAAUAAAAUAUAAAACAAGA